GGACUAGAUAAAUUUAUGUACUAGAAGUUG
rnacentral:piRNA from 1 species